AUGAGUCGCCGAUUUUCAGGAAUGGCUACUGAUUUGUUUUGUACUCAUAGAAUCCUCUUUGCCCUGUUGGAGAAAGGAGGAAUAACCAUCAUUAGAGAGCUAGAAAGUAGAGGUUCUGUUCAGAAACUAGCCAAAAUAUUGCUGAAAGCUAGUGGAGGAGAGCUUUUGAACGACAUCUUGGCAGAUAUAAUGGACAGGUAUUCCAAACACGACAGCAAGGAAUCACUUCGGAGAACAAUCAUGGAACAUGAUGAGGUCUUCAGGCAACAGGUGCAUGAACUGCAUCGGCUAUACAGGGUACAGAAAGCACUGAUGGCUGAAUUACGUGGUGAGAACAGUUUCCAACUCAGAACAGAAGAUACUCGAGAAAUGGUGCAGGGCCACAGGCCAAACCUCAAGAAUAGCUCUUGUAUGUCAGAGACUAGUCAAUCUGCUUGUCUUGGAAACGCACAGUACUCUGAUACUAGGCAAUUACCUGAACAGUCGUUUCUUCAAGAAUGCAAGCCAGUGUCAUGCUUAAACCUCUUCGACGAAGAAACUUCAAGAAGCCAAGAAAGAAGACCAGAAAGCAGUAAAUCAGUUGAAGGUGAAAGUUGGAGUGUUUCUAUGGAAGGUGAUCUCGAUCUCAAACUAAGCAUUGCCCCCAGUUCAAAUGCAACAAAAGCACCACACUGGCUCUUCUCCAACAGCAGGGAAAGAAACCCUUCUGGUCAGCAUCGAUGA
rnacentral:rRNA from 1 species